GGGCGGUUAGCUCAGCGGUAGAGCACUUCGUUGACAUCGAAGGGGUCACAAGUUCGAACCUUGUACCGCCCA
rfam:Loktanella soesokkakensis strain CECT 8367 genome assembly, contig: 0002